rnacentral:tRNA from 1 species
UUUUAGGUGGCAGAUUAAUGCACAGAUUUUAAGCGUCUGAGGUGAUUUUUAUCCCUUCUCCUU